GACGAACGCUGGCGGCGUGCUUAACACAUGCAAGUCGAACGGACAGGCCCUGCUUUUGUGGCGUGCUCGUGUGGCGAACGGGUGAGUAACACGUGAGUAACCUGCCCUUGACUUUGGGAUAACUUCAGGAAACUGGGGCUCAUACCGGAUAGGAGCUCCUGCUGCAUGGUGGGGGUUGGAAAGUUUCGGCGGUUGGGGCUGGACUCGCGGCUUAUCAGCUUGUUGGUGGGGUAGUGGCUUACCAAGGCUUUGACGGGUAGCCGGCAUGAGAGGGGGACCGGCCACCUUGGGCCUGAGGGAGGGACCAGACUGCUACGGGAGGCAGCAGUGGGGAAUAUUGCACAAUGGGCGGAAGCCUGAUGCAGCAACGCCGCGUGCGGGAUGACGGCCUUCGGGGGGUAAACCGCUGUCGCCUGUGACGAAGCGUGAGUGACGGUAAUGGGUAAAGAAGCACCGGCUAACUACGUG
rnacentral:rRNA from 1 species